rnacentral:rRNA from 1 species
UACGUAGGCAGCGAGCGUUGUUCGGAGUUACUGGGCGUAAAGGGUGUGUAGGCGGUUGUUUAAGUUUGGUGUGAAAUCUCCCGCUCAACUGGGAGGGUGCGCCGAAUACUGAAUGACUUCGAGUGCGGGAGAGGAGAGUGGAAUUCCUGGUGUAGCGGUGAAAUGCGUAGAUAUCAGGAGGAACACCGGUGGUGUAGACGGCUCUCUGGACCGUAACUGACGCUGAGACACGAAAGCGUGGGUAGCAAACAGG